NNNNNNNAGGGCUGUGGCGUCUGUCACCCCAUGGGUCACCAGGGCUGAAUCAGCUGAUCUGUCUGGCUCAGCAGGUGUCCCCUUCCUCCCUCACUGCUCCUUGUGUGUCCACCCCAAAUCUACAUGCUUGGUUAAAGAGGAUGGCCUUCUCCAACAGAGGAAGACCGUUCUCCAGUCAAAGGUAUAUGAGUCUCUGUGCUUCCUUGCUAAAACCCCAAACAAAGCCUCAAGACCCCAAAGGAGUAUGCCAGCAAUGGGGAACAGAAUACACCAGGCCU
rnacentral:snRNA from 1 species